UACAGAGGGUGCAAGCGUUAAUCGGAAUUACUGGGCGUAAAGCGUGCGUAGACGGUCAUGUAAGUCGGGUGUGAAAGCCCGGGCUCAACCUGGGAAUUGCAUUCGAGACUGCAUGGCUAGGAUGCGGAAGAGGGAAGCGGAAUUCCGGUGUAGCGGUGAAAUGCGUAGAUAUCGGAAGGAACACCAGUGGCGAAAGCGGCUUCCUGG
rnacentral:rRNA from 1 species